rnacentral:tRNA from 1 species
GCCCACGUAGCUCAGUCGGUAGAGCAACGCCUUGGUAAGGCGUAGGCCACCGGUUCAAGUCCGGUCGUGGGCUCCA